rnacentral:rRNA from 1 species
AGGAAACUAACCAGGAUUCCCGCAGUAACGGCGAGUGAACUGGGAAAUGUCCAGCGCUGAAUCGUCUCGCCUCUGGCGUUACGAAGUGUUGCGUAUAGGACGCAAGCUUUGUCCAGCCGUUUCGAUCAAGUCCCCCUUGACAGGGGUUCCAAAGAAGGUGCGAGUCCUGUACCUCGAGACUGGCUGGAUGAACUUUGCGCUCCUUGGAGUCGGGUUGUUUGGGAUCGCAGCCCAAAGUCGGUGGUAAACUUCAUCUAAGACUAAAUAUUGUCACGAGACCGAUAGCAAACAAGUACUGUGAAGGAAAGUUGCAAAGCACUUUGAAGAGAGAGUUAAAGAGGACGUGAAACCGGUGGGGUGGAAACGGAUAGAGCCGGCGUAUCUGACAUGUAUUCAACCGCUAAAUUAUCGCGUUUCGGACUUUGAUCUCCAGAUUGGGCACUGUUCGAAAUCGUUGGUGGUGGUGUGGUGCAUUUGCAUGUGGAGUGCGUAGAGGCGUCGGGGAUUGAGGUGUGAUCUCUGUUUUGAGGCCAGCUUGCUGGUACCCAAACUUUGGCAGCACCUUUUGUUCCGGACGUUUUAUUUGCAAGGCUUACGAGCUCUAUUGGGGCUCGAACUGGGGGUCGGUUACGGUCGCAUGCGACACGUGCCGUUCAACCAGUUCGGUCCUGGUCGAGCUCACGUGCAGUCUCUCUGCGUAAAGCCGGUCACCUAUCCGACCCGUCUUGAAACACGGACCAAGGAGUUUAUCGUGUGCGCGAGUCAUUGGACUUUCAAAACUCAAAGACGAAAUGAAAGUGAAUGUCCUCGCAAGAGGCUGACGUGUGAUUCCCUUCUCCUUCAAAGUAGGGAAGCAGCAUGGCCCCAUUCUGACUGCUUGCAGUGGGGUGGAGGAAGAGCGCAUGCGGUGAGACCCGAAAGAUGGUGAACUAUUCCUGAGCAGGAUGAAGCCAGAGGAAACUCUGGUGGAAGUCCGAAGCGGUUCUGACGUGCAAAUCGAUCGUCUGACUUGGGUAU